rnacentral:rRNA from 1 species
UACGUAGGGUGCAAGCGUUGUCCGGAAUCAUUGGGCGUAAAGAGCGUGUAGGCGGCCCGAUAAGUCCGCUGUGAAAGUCCAGGGCUCAACCCUGGAAUGCCGGUGGAUACUGUCGGGCUAGAGUCCGGAAGGGGCGAGUGGAAUUCCUGGUGUAGCGGUGAAAUGCGCAGAUAUCAGGAGGAACACCAAUGGCGAAGGCAGCUCGCUGGGACGGUACUGACGCUGAGACGCGAAAGCGUGGGGAGCAAACGGG